AUGGUGUGCAUUGAUGCUACUAUAAAACACAUUGACGGGGUCAUAUUAUAUUUUAAGAAGUAUAGAGAUGAAGGCUUUCAAGCUAGUAUUGAGAUAGCAAAAUCCAUUGCAUCUGAUAUGGACAUAGAGCCAGAAUUUCCUUCAAAACGUCAACAGAAAAGAAAGAGGCAUCAUGAUGAAAUCAAUGAUCAAGACGAAGAAAUACAGUUGUCAUCUAUGGAAUCCUUCAGAGUUAAUUACUUUCUAGUCAUUGUUGACAAUGCAAUUCUUUCAUUGACCAGUCGCUUUGAUCAGUUGAAGAAAUUUGAAAAGGUGUUUGGUUUCUUAUUCAAUUCAAAAAAUCUGAAGUCCUUGGAUGAUAGAAAACUACAGGAAUGUUGCGCUACUUUUGCAAAAGCUUUUUCUGAUGAUAAAUCAUCUGAUGUUGAUCUUCAUGAUUUUGUCUUAGAGUUAAAAGUGUUGCAGGUAACUUUGCCAGAUGAUUUGAUGUCAGCGCUUGAGAUUCUUCAGUCUGUUAUGGUUGUAGAUUGCUAUCCAAAUGUCUCUGUUGCCUAUUGGAUCCUCUUAACAGUGAUUGUGACUGUAUCAUCAGCUGAAAGAAGUUUCUCUAAACUGAAACUACUGAAAAAUUAUUUGAGGUCAAUGUUGCAAGAUAGAUUGAAUGGCCUGGCUAUGUGCUGCAUUGAGAAGGAUAUCUUGGACAAUGUUGAUCUUGAUUGUGCCCUUAAUGACUUUGCAUCAAGAAAUGCCCGAAGAAACUUUUUUUGA
rnacentral:rRNA from 1 species